rnacentral:rRNA from 1 species
AAAGGAGAUUUAAAGGUGCAAACCGCCGAGGGAUUGGAAUAUGUCCUAUUAGCUAGUUGGCGGGAUAAAAGCCCACCAAGGCAAUGAUAGGUAGCUGGUCUAAGAGGAUGAACAGCCACAAUGGGAUUGAGAUACGGCCCAUAUUCCUACGGGAAGCAGCAGUAGGGAAUCUUCCACAAUGGACGAAAGUCUGAUGGAGCAAUGCCAUGUGAACGACGAAGGCCAGACAGGUCGUAAAGUUCUUUUAGAGGGGAAAAAUCUGAUGGUACCCUCUGAAUAAGUGACAGCAAACUAUGUGCCAGCAGCUGCGGUAAUACAUAGGUCGCGAGCGUUAUUCGGAUUUAUUGGGCGUAAAGCAAGCGCAGGCGGAUGAAUAAGUUCUGCAUUAAAAGCAGCUGCUUAACAGUUGUUUGUGCCGAAUACUAUUCAUCUAGAAUGUGGUAGAAAGUUUUGGAAUUAAAUAUGGAGCGGUGGAAUGUGUAGAUAUAUUUAAGAACACCAGAGGCGAAGGCGAAAACUUAGGCCAUUAUUGACGCUUAGGCUUGAAAGUGUGGGUAGCAAAUGGGAUUAGAUACCCCAGUAGUCCACACCGUAAACGAUGGGUAUUAGAUGUCGGGACUUGAGUUUCGGCGUUGUAGCUUACGUGUUAAAUACCCCGCCUGGGUAGUACAUAUGCAAAUAUGAAACUCAAAGGAAUUGACGGGGACCUGAACAAGUGGUGGAACAUGUUGCUUAAUUCGAUAAUACACGAAAAACCUUACCAAGGUUUGACAUCCUCUGCAAAGCUAUAGAAAUAUAGUGGAGGUUAUCAGAGUGACAGGUGGUGCAUGGUUGUCGUCAGCUCGUGUCAUGAGAUGUUUGGUUAAGUCCCGCAACGAGCGCAACCCUACUCUUUAGUUACUUGUCUAAAGAGACUGAACAGUAAUGUAUAGGAAGGAUGGGAUCACGUCAAAUCAUCAUGCCCCUUAUGCCUUGGGCCGCAAACGUG